UACGUAGGGCGCAAGCGUUAUCCGGAAUUAUUGGGCGUAAAGAGCUCGUAGGUGGUUUGUCGCGUUUGUCCGUGAAAACUCACAACUCAAUUGUGGGCGUGCGGGCGAUACGGGCAGACUGGAGUACUGCAGGGGAGACUGGAAUUCCUGGUGUAGCGGUGGAAUGCGCAGAUAUCAGGAGGAACACCGGUGGCGAAGGCGGGUCUCUGGGCCGAUACUGACGCUGAGGAGCGAAAGCGUGGGGAGCGAACAGG
rnacentral:rRNA from 1 species